AAUAAUGUUGUAUUAGAUUAUCCAACAACAUUGAUAUUAAAAAUUAAACAAAUGAGUAUUAACAUACCCCGAUGAGCGUCACUUUUUCAGCACAGUGUUCAUCUUGAGUUGGUUCACCCCAUCUGCCUUUUCCAAAGCAUUCUCCAGCUAUAAACAAUGAAUCGGUUAAAAUAUUGAAGUUAAAAAAAAAUUAAACGCUAGGUAGCUUAUGUCGUAUGGAUGUUAUAUUGACGUCCUUACCAUGUCGGGAAUCGCGGAUGUUACGAACAGAUGGAUGAGCAUGGAAUCUUGCGAAACUUGAGUGCACACUGGACACUACAGCCGACGCAAACAUAUGCAAAACGUAGAUGCA
rnacentral:lncRNA from 1 species